rnacentral:rRNA from 1 species
UGGGGAAUAUUGCACAAUGGGCGCAAGCCUGAUGCAGCCAUGCCGCGUGUAUGAAGAAGGCCUUCGGGUUGUAAAGUACUUUCAGCGGGGAGGAAGGUGUUGUGGUUAAUAACCACAGCAAUUGACGUUACCCGCAGAAGAAGCACCGGCUAACUCCGUGCCAGCAGCCGCGGUAAUACGGAGGGUGCAAGCGUUAAUCGGAAUUACUGGGCGUAAAGCGCACGCAGGCGGUCUGUCAAGUCGGAUGUGAAAUCCCCGGGCUCAACCUGGGAACUGCAUCCGAAACUGGCAGGCUUGAGUCUUGUAGAGGGGGGUAGAAUUCCAGGUGUAGCGGUGAAAUGCGUAGAGAUCUGGAGGAAUACCGGUGGCGAAGGCGGCCCCCUGGACUAAUACUGACACUGAGGUGCGAAAGCGUGGGGAGCAAACA